ACGGCAUGGAGAUAAUCGGGAAGAGGGUGCGCGGCUUUGGCCGCCAAGCCAUCACUGCCCCCGCAACGGUAGACGAGAUGCGGUUCGUGAUAACGGCCACUGUGUACGACACGCGAGUGCGACAUGGGAAGGCCACGAACCCGAUCCACGGAUCACUCGUGAGUCCGGAGACCGGCCCGCUUUAGUU
rnacentral:ncRNA from 1 species